rnacentral:hammerhead_ribozyme from 1 species
AUCCAGAUGACGAGUCCCAAAUAGGACGAAAUGUGCAUCUUGGAU